UGGGGAAUAUUGGACAAUGGAGGAAACUCUGAUCCAGCAAUUCUGUGUGUGUGAAGAAGGUUUUAGGACUGUAAAACACUUUUAGUAGGGAAGAAAAAAAUGACGGUACCUACAGAAGAAGCAACGGCUAAAUACGUGCCAGCAGCCGCGGUAAUACGUAUGUUGCGAGCGUUAUCCGGAAUUAUUGGGCUUAAAGGGCAUCUAGGCGGUAAGACAAGUUGAAGGUGAAAACCUGUGGCUCAACCAUAGGCUUGCCUACAAAACUGUUGAACUAGAGUGCUGGAAAGGUGGGUGGAACUACACGAGUAGAGGUGAAAUUCGUAGAUAUGUGUAGGAAUGCCGAUGAUGAAGAUAACUCACUGGACAGAAACUGACGCUGAAGUGCGAAAGCUAGGGGAGCAAACAGG
rnacentral:rRNA from 1 species